GUCCUACGGGGGGCAGCAGUGGGGGAUAUUGCACAAUGGGGGAAACCCUGAUGCAGCGACGCCGCGUGAGUGAAGAAGUAUUUCGGUAUGUAAAGCUCUAUCAGCAGGGAAGAAAAAAGACGGUACCUGACUAAGAAGCCCUGGCUAACUACGUGCCAGCAGCCGCGGUAAUACGUAGGGGGCAAGCGUUAUCCGGAUUUACUGGGUGUAAAGGGAGCGUAGACGGCAAGACAAGCCGGAAGUGAAAUACCCGGGCUUAACCUGGGAA
rnacentral:rRNA from 1 species